CUCGAAUCCUAGAUAAAAUGAGCGAAGUCUCGAUGCGCUUGGCAAGAUUAUAUUACGAUACACUUCGUUUCACAGAUGGUCUACUUUUGAGAGCGGUUGUGCAACCUUUAAUGGAUGGAUUGCAUGCCACCAACAAUUGGUGCUUUCUUUUGAUUCGCAUUCUUCAAAGAAUAAUUUCUCAUGAUGUUCGCUUCGUGGACCUUUAACAUUCAUUUCAUUGCACGAAAAUAGAUGUUUGCUUACUAUGAAGAAACUCGAAACAAGAUAAAGGUAAACAGGUUCAUCAAAUUCAAAGAGAUUGUUAUAAUUCAGAAAACGAUACUUAACGCGGGUGAAACUGUCUGAAGCGUUCAUUCUUCGACAGGCCAUUGUUCUAUUUAUCGGUAUACAAGUACGAUCUUGCAAUUUCCUGUGAGCGAAUCUCGUCUCAUGAUUGUUUUUCUACAUGAUAUAGCAGGAUUGGUUUUGAAAUCAGAUUUAAAAAUCCUGGAAACAUUGUUGAGGCGAGUAUUUCGUUUAAAUUUCGCGUAAAUAAUCAAAUACAAAUAAAGAAAAUUUAAUAUUGGAUAUUUAUAAAAAUGGAUCGAAAAAUAUAAAAUAUUUUACAUUUCAUUUGCAAUUUUGAUAAAAUUUGUUCAUAAUAAUUACUUGCAAGAAAUUACACAUAACAAAUUAUGAUAAUUAAAAUAUCAAAAGUAAUCAUAGGCAUAAUUCAUUCUGUUGAAUUGGAACAUUGUAUUUAUAAUAAAAUAAUUAUUUUUUAAUAUUCCAUCAAACAUCUAUUGUUCACAGCAAGUACCGCUAGAUUCAACGUAGCACAUUUACUAUGUGUGUAUCUAUAGUUACUAGUAGUAAAUACCAACCAGUUGGAUGUUACUAUUUUACGAUUAUGAACUACAUCGACUAGUCGGUCAAUUGAUAAAUUUAUUGUUUUCGAUGCUUAAUCACCGUAACAUGACAUUUUGGAUUUUAAAUGAAAAUAAAAAUGAAAAUAUUUUAUCAUUAUUAUACAAUUUGAAAA